AGAAGUAAAAGAAAAAAUUACUUCCUUAGAAGCCGACAUCUUUCUUUCUGAAGUUUAAACAAUCACAACCAUGUUUAUGGUUGUUGGAUGUCCCCCUUCCAAGCCAAAAGAAGCACUCUUGAAUUUUAACAAGUUUGGACUCUCUCAUUUUAAGAAAUAUUUGAAGAACAUGGAGAGACAACCAAAGAAUGUUGUAAGAAAAGAAGAUACUAAACAGUAUAGAGAUGAUUAAGACCACGAGCUUGGGAAACCAAAGGAAGAAUGAUACACAGAGAAAGUAAAUAUAUGAAGGAACAUACUGGAAGCACAACAGAACCUUGGCUAUGAAGACUCUUCAAGGUUUUGUUAUUCAAGGUCUAUGGAUUACCAUGAAGAUGGACUGGACAUUACACCACACUGGAAAAGUGAAACAUCCCAUUCAGUUUGUGAUCUUCCUGUCAUGAAAGUUGCUUGACAGCUCCAAUUUUCAAUUGAACACAUUAAACACCUGGAGAAAUUAUCAAUUAAAAACAUCUAAUCACCAUA